UAAACCAGGAUUAGAUACCCUAUUAUUCUUAAGCUAAAAACCCCCAAAGAAGUAGAUGCUAUAUGCCUGAAACCUAAAGGAUUUGGCGGUGUUUUACCUAACCAGAGGAACCCGUUCCGUAAUCGUCAAAACACGAAACAUCUUACCUUAAAAAAGUUCAUAUACCGUCAUUUAACUCAUGCCAACAAGCUACAAUAAAAAAGGAUACUACUAAAUUAGAUUAGGUGUGGUAUUUUAAGGAGAGAAUAGGUUACAUUUUAUAAACAAGUGGAAUUCUUAUGAAAAAUGAAAGAAAAAGGAUUUGUAAGUAAUUUUACAAGAUU
rnacentral:rRNA from 1 species